GACGAACCGUGCGAACGUUGUUCGGAAUCACUGGGCUUAAAGGGUGCGUAGGCGGGUCUUUAAGUCAGGGGUGAAAUCCUGGAGCUCAACUCCAGAACUGCCUUUGAUACUGAGGAUCUCGAGUCCGGGAGAGGUGAGUGGAACUCCGAGUGUAGAGGUGAAAUUCGUAGAUAUUCGGAAGAACACCAGUGGCGAAGGCGGCUCACUGGCCCGGUACUGACGCUGAGGUGCGAAAGCGUGGGGAGCAAACAGG
rnacentral:rRNA from 1 species